GGUCAUGAGUGCCAGCGCGAAACCCCGGUUUGCUGGCCGGCAACCCUCCUCCCACGGUGGGGUGCCCCGGGUGACGACCCGGCCGUUCACCAGGUGGUGCGCGGCAAGCGUGGGAC
rfam:Paraoerskovia marina strain DSM 22126 genome assembly, chromosome: I